UACGUAGGGCGCAAGCGUUGUCCGGAAUUAUUGGGCGUAAAGAGCUCGUAGGCGGUUUGUCGCGUCUGGUGUGAAAACUCAAGGCUCAACCUUGAGCUUGCAUCGGGUACGGGCAGACUAGAGUGCGGUAGGGGUGACUGGAAUUCCUGGUGUAGCGGUGGAAUGCGCAGAUAUCAGGAGGAACACCGAUGGCGAAGGCAGGUCACUGGGCCGCAACUGACGCUGAGGAGCGAAAGCAUGGGGAGCGAACAGGAUUAGAAACCCCAGUAGUCC
rnacentral:rRNA from 1 species